CUCUUUCUGUUCAUAAACAUUCUUCCACGACGUGCUGUGCUGGAAUCCCUGAGCCUGCUCUGGCCUGGGAGGCUGCCUGAUUUUACACAAAGAACUCUUGAAUCCCCUUUUAUCAUUUUCUGAACCAUUUGAGAGCAAGCUGCAAUCAUAAGAUCCAGCACCUCUAAACACUCCAGAAUAUAUUUUUAGAUAUAACCCUGUAAUGGCUGAAAAGUGUUCCCCCCAAAUUCACAUCCUCCUGAAACCUCAGAAUGUGACCUUAUUUUGAAAUAGGGUCAUUACAGAUGUAAUGAAGGAUCUCCAAUUGAAUCCGUCCAAGGAUUAAGGUGGGCCCUGAAUCCCAUAGACUGGUGUCCUCAUAAGAAAAGGUGAGGACAAAGAGAGACACAGAGACACACAGAUAGCUAUGUGAAGAUGGAAGCAGAGGUUGGGGAUCUGCUGCCACAAACAAAGGCACCCCAAGUAUUGCCAGCAACCACCAGAAGCAAGGAGAAAGGCAUGGGACGCUUUCUCCAUCAGAGUCUCCGGAAGGAACCAAGCUUACUGACACCUUGAUUUUGGACUUCUAGCCCCCAGAACUUCAAGAUAAUACAUUUCUGUUGUUUAAAGCCA
ensembl:lncRNA novel transcript